AGUUUGAUCAUGGCUCAGGAUGAACGCUAGCGGCAGGCUUAACACAUGCAAGUCGAGGGGUAGGUUACUUCGGUAAUUGAGACCGGCGCACGGGUGCGUAACGCGUAUACAAUCUACCUUUUACAGAGGGAUAGCCCAGAGAAAUUUGGAUUAAUACCUCAUAGUAUUUUUGAAUCGCAUGAUUUGAUUAUUAAAGUUCCAACGGUAAAAGAUGAGUAUGCGUCCCAUUAGCUAGUUGGUAAGGUAACGGCUUACCAAGGCAACGAUGGGUAGGGGUCCUGAGAGGGAGAUCCCCCACACUGGUACUGAGACACGGACCAGACUCCUACGGGAGGCAGCAGUGAGGAAUAUUGGACAAUGGGCGCAAGCCUGAUCCAGCCAUGCCGCGUGCAGGAUGACGGUCCUAUGGAUUGUAAACUGCUUUUAUACAGGAAGAAACACUACUUCGUGAAGUAGCUUGACGGUACUGUAAGAAUAAGGAUCGACUAACUCCGUG
rnacentral:rRNA from 1 species